rnacentral:misc_RNA from 1 species
UUAAACAUGCAAUUUAUUAAAGGUGGACGGAAGAAGGAAGCGAAGUGCAAAACAAAUACAAGCCGAAAAAACGCGCAAAAUUAAAUAGUUUGUUUUUUUUUUUGCUGUGAUUACACAAAUUUUCAAUGUGUGAGUGUGUGUGCAACAAUAACUACGCCAUCAUGUAAAUCUAGUUUCAAUUUGUGUCGCUGUCGACGCCAUAAAAAGAGCGCAAAAAGCACUAAGCGAAGAAGAAGAAGCGGCAAAUAACAUCCAUCGGUGGAAAAAAAAAUUGAUCGCCAUAAGCAAAUUCACACACACAGCUACAUGUACUACGUAUGUGUGUCGCGAGCAGUGUUGCCAUGUGCGCGCAUUUUGCGCCUGUGCUUUGCUCAAAUUGAUGAAAUACAGCAGAUAUUCCAAUUAUUACAUUUAUCAUAUGUAAUUAAAAGUUCAUAUAUGCGCAAUAAUAUGUAGCCAAUAUUCGAUUUAUGAUAUGCAUGCGCUUAUGCGAGCUGAUCGUGAUAUGCACAAAGCAGAAGUUGCGCCAGCUGGCAAUGCUUCUAAAAUCUGUUGUUGUUGCUGCCUUUGCCGGCCUUCAAUUGUGACAAACACUGCAAUAAAAACAUAUGUAAGUGUAUGUAUGCGUGCGUACGUAUGUGUGUGAGUGUUUGUAUGCCAUGCUUGUAAUUUCAGGUUAUUUGAUACCAAAAUGUAUCUAUAACAACAUUAUAGCGCGCGCAUCAUUCAUAUAUACACACAUACAUAUAUGUAUGUAUGUGUAUAUAUAUGCAUACAGGCUAACAAGAAACGUGUAUGCACAUAAUAAUCGACACAUUCUCGCCAAUGCCGAUGGGUCGCCAGCUUUAGCUAUAGCUGCUGCUGAGACAUGCACACACACAGGCAUAUUGACUGCGCAGUCAUAAAUACCCUCACACACACAUUCGCACACAGAGACACACAUCUGCUGUCGCAGGCUAGACUUUUCACAAUGCAAAAAACCGGCCGCCCCAAACGAAACGGUACAUGCACUGUUUACAUGCACUUCCCUCUCUCCACUCAUAUUCGUAUGUAUAAGCAUACACACAUACGUAUGUAUGUAUCUCUCUCACUCGUUACAAGAAAUGCGAACAAGAACGGAACAGAGCAGACAAACCUGUCUUUUUUUUUCUUUUUUGGUGUGUGGCACUUUUGCUGAUUAAUAAACAUGCGCUCUGGCAAGGCCUACUCAAUCAGGCACCCACAACCCACCCCGCCCAACCAAAAUGCACACACAGUGGUCCAACACACAUACAGCUGUACAACCACACGCGGCCACACAUAGUCAAAGCUAAGCUAAUAUGCACACGCUCCAAAGCUUAAGCUGCGUGCGGUUGUAUGUGUGUGUGAGCACUCAUUUAACUACGUCGGUAUUUGUGUGCAUGUAACUGUCCAGCAGAACAGAUGAAACGCGCUGCUGCUGCUGCUCAGAACGUAAAAUGUCGCCAGCCAUUGUUGCCAUCGCAAGAAACUGUAAAUCUAUAAACUGGACUACUCUAAUUUGUCUAAUCAGAAAAUAAUCAAGGGCAACUAGAAAAUGCUAACGCUCUCAAUCGCAUAUUUCAAGCGGAAGUCCAACGCUUAUCAAAAGUCUCAAGUAAAAACCGUUUGUCUGAUUCUCUUGCGCUUAGGCGCAACAACUACCAAAAAAAAAGUCGUUUGUCAACAUACAAUUUGUUAUUGCUGUUAUUGGGGUUAGUGCGGCUGCCGGCUUGUUCCAUUCCGCAAAUCGGAGGACUUGUAUACUGUUUUCCUUUUCAUCCCCAUCUCCCUUUCAACCCCGUGCAACCCCCCUUGAAGUGCUUCAUAACAUUUCAUUUCGUUUCAAUUUUGUUUGUAACACGCGCGCGUAUUGCGCUGCCAUGUUAUCAGCGCUUGCUCUUUGCGCUGCUCUUUCAAUGCCCAUUUUCGCGCAUUCCGUUUUGUGGCGCGUACGUCACACGUACACGCACACACAUACACAACGGCUGCAAAAAAAAAUGCUGUUACAUAAACGCGUUGCCACUUUUUCAGCUGGGAGCUAGGUGCGCAAUAUGUUUCAAAAUCAUUGUUGUUGUCUCAGCACAGUAAAUUGUUUUUCAUUUUUACCAUAAUUAUAUUCGUUAUUCUCAAUGCGCCAUUUUGUGUACAUGGCAGACUGUCAGAGACUCGCAAUACGCUGAAUACACCGGCAGUGUGACCAAAUCGUCUAAUGUUAAAUAUGCCCAUUUCCUUAUGCAGCACAGGAAUCGCUGACAAUAUUAGAACUGAAUCUGGAUAACUGCAGGAGUACAAGCAUUGUUGGCCUUACAGAUGAAUAUACCGCCUUGGAAACAUUAAGUUUGAUAA